AUGCCUAAUGUUGAAAAUGAGUCUGAAAAAGAGAAAAUGCCUGUUAAAUUAACAGCUAAGGCUUUAAUGGAAAAACUUGACACUUUGCAAAAAUUAAGAAAGGCUAAAUUAAACAAGGCUCAGAAACUAAAUGAGUCAAUUAACAGGUUAAUCCAUGAAAACAAAGAAUAUGAACCUGAGGUACGAUUGCCUUUUGAAGAGUUUAUGAGGUUAUGUUCAGAGGCUACAGAAGCACAUGAGUCACUGUUGGUUAUCUUACCUGUUGAUGAAGCUGAAAAACAUGAAAUAUGGUUUAAAGCCAAAAUGAUACCAAAUAAUGAGUUAAUUGAACGGGUGAACAAAUGGUUAUCAGAUACAGAAAAAGGUCAGAAAAGCUCUGAAGUGGCUGAAGUUUGUAGUGAUGUUAAUCCUGGAGAUAGUGUCUCAAACGUGUCUCAUGCUACCUCUAAAUGUAGUAAACGCAGCUCACACCGCAGUUCAUCUAUAUCAUCUACAUGCAUUCAAGCAGAGGCAGAAAAGGCUGCACUUAUGGCACAAGCUGCUGCAUUGAAGGCCAAGCAUGCAAUUGAAGCUCAGGAGGAGGAUUUGAGACAGAAAAAGGAACAAUUGGAGUUGGAUGCUCAAAUAGCAGCUUCAACUGCAAAGAUCGCUGUGUUGCAAAGGUCUGAUAAUCAAAGCAAAUGUUCACGUAAUUCAAGGUCAAAAUCAAGUGAGAUUAAUACAACUGAUAAACUCAAGUUUGAUUCUUCUCGGCCAAAGGUUCUUAAUCCCAAUGCAAAUAAACAUGUACCAUUGAAUUCAAUGCCAAUAAAUAUAGCUGGAGCAGCUGAUGUCUCUGCAUCUCGAGUCAUACCAGAGAAUCAAAGGAGAGGAUGGAGAAAUCAACAAAUAUUCCACACUGCGCAGUCUGAUUUCCAAUAUUCUGCUCAAGUGCAACAAAGCAAUAUGGGAGUUGAUCAGAUGUCACAUGUUCUUCCUCCUCAUGGUGAUCCACUGCUUGAAGUCUUAAAAACACAAGAAGAGUUAACAUCUUAUCUCAUUCAACAGCAAGGAAAUCCUCGUAUUCUACCAAAAAGAGAGAUCCCAGUUUUUGAUGGUGACCCAUUGCAGUAUAUUGCAUUUAUGAGAGCGUUUGAACAUGGCAUUGAAGAGAAAACUGAAAAUGAAAAGGAUCGUUUGUAUUUUCUUGAGCAGUUCACAAGGGGGCAGCCUAAAGAUCUGGUCCGUAGUUGCCAGCAUAUGGCCCCAGAAAGAGGCCAUGCAUUGGCCAAAAGAUUAUUAAAAGAACAUUUUGGUAAUGAAUUCAAGGUAUCUACUGCCUAUCUGGAGAAAGCCUUGGGCUGGCCCACUGUAAGGGCAGAGGAUAUGCAAGGAUUACAGGCUUAUGCUUUGUUUUUGCGUACAUGUUGCAAUACUAUGGAUGAACUUACAUACAUGCAAGAACUUAACAUGCCUAGCAACAUGAAGAUUGUUGUAACAAAGUUACCUUACAAGCUGAGAGAGCAGUGGAGGGCUCAGGCUUGUGAGAUUAUGGAGUCCAGUCAAGGCAGAGCAAAAUUCUCUCACAUUGUUGAGUUUAUUGAAAAACAGGUCAAGGUGGCAUCUGAUCCUGUGUUUGGAGAUAUCCAGGACAAACAGGGCACAGGUAAAUUCAAAUCCCAAGUGCGCAAGACUCUUAGAGGGAACAGUUUUGCCACUGAUGUUGCUGUUUCAAUUCCAACUAAGACUAACACUGGGUCAAUACAGCAAAGACACUGCUCUUUAUCUAAGUCUAAUGGAAACUGUUUGUUCUGUGCAAAUCAACAUACAUUGGAAAGAUGUUUUGCUUUGAAGAGGACGACUCAACGAGAAAAGAUUGAGUUCUUGAAAUCCAAGGGAAUUUGUUUUGGUUGUCUAAAGACGGGACAUAUGAGUAAGGAAUGUGACAAUCGUUUGAUUUGUGAGGUUUGUGGAGAAGUGCAUCCAACUAUCCUGCAUAUAUAUCGUAAGGAGGUAACUGGGAAACAGUUGGAGGAAAGGUGUGACGUAGUGUCUGCUAAAACUUGUGUUCUUACAGGGGCCGGUAACGAGAGGAGUUUAAUGCCAAUCUUACCAGUUCAGGUGAAAGCUAUAAAAGGUAACAAUGUGAUACAUACCUAUGCUUUUCUGGACCCGGGAAGCUCCGCUACUUUUUGUUCAGAACAUCUAAUGGAAGUGUUGAAGUUGAACGGAAAGAGGGUUAACAUUCCGCUACGUACCAUGGGUCAGGAAAAGUCUGUCUCCUCUAAUGUUAUUGAUGGACUGGAAAUCAGUGGAAUAAAUACUAACCAUUUCUUCCCUCUUCCUGCUGUAUAUACGCAGCAGAACAUGCCUGUUGACUCUGGAAAUAUCAUUACUCAGGAGGAGUUAUCCAAAUGGUCAUACUUGGAUAAGGUUAAGAUACCACACAUUCAAGCAGGUGUUGAUUUAUUGAUUGGAACUAAUGCAGCUAAUGUGAUUGAGCCAUAUGAAAUUAUAAACAGUCAUGGUAAUGGGCCAUUUGCCAUUAAAACCCUACUGGGAUGGGUUGUUAAUGGGACUUUGGAGGAAAAUGGGGACCACAAGAAUGAAGCUGGGCAUUCUGCGGUUACUGUUAACAGAAUUUCUGUUGUUAAAUUGGAGGAGUUGCUCAAUAAUCAGUUCAAUUAUGAUUUCAGCGAAAGGACUGCUGAUAAAGAAGAAAUGUCAAGGGAAGAUCUUCGGUUUGUGGACAUAAUGAACCGCACUGUCAUGCUCCAGGUUGGACAUUAUAGCCUACAGUUGCCAUUCAAGACUGGUAAUGUCAUGUUACCUAACAACUUCUGUCUUGCUAGGCAACGAUUAAAUGGCCUGAAAAGGAAACUGGAAAGAGACAAAGGGUUUCAUGAAAAGUACUCUCAUUUUCUUGCUGAUGUUGUCCUUAAAGGUUAUGCAGAGAAGGUACCAUCUAACCAACUAGAUCGUGAGGAUGGCAAAGUUUGGUACAUUCCUCAUCAUGGGGUGUUUCAUCCCAAGAAGGGAUCAUUGAGGGUUGUGUUUGACUGUGGGGCAACAUACAAAGGAACCUCACUUAAUAGUCAAUUGUUGCAAGGCCCUAACCUUACCAAUUCUUUGGUAGGUGUGCUGAUGAGAUUCAGGCAAGAGCCAGUAGCCUUCAUGGCUGACAUUGAAGCAAUGUUUUAUCAAGUUAAAGUGGCUGAAGAAGAGGUGGAUUUUCUUCGGUUCUUGUGGUGGCCUGAUGGAAAUUUGACAAGAGAGCCCAUUGUAUUUAGGAUGACAGUUCAUCUUUUUGGAGCGGUGUCUUUUCCAAACUGUGCUUGUUAUGCCUUGAGACAGACUGCAAAGAACAAUCAAGCAGACUUUCCAGCUGAGGUAACUGACACUAUCAACAAUAACUUUUAUGUAGAUGACUGUCUGAAGAGUGUCUCUUCUGAGGAAGUGGCCAUCUCUAUGGUUACAAAUCUAACUGCUCUCUGUCAAAAGGGAGGUUUCUGUUUAACAAAAUGGAUCAGCAACAGUCGCAAAGUUUUGCAGUCAGUUCCUGAGGAACACCGAGCUAAGGAUAUACAGCAGCUAGAUCUGGAUCGAGAUAAAUUGCCUGUUGAGAGAGCUUUAGGUCUUCAGUGGAGUGUGGAAACCGAUACCUUUCAAUUCAAGACUUCAUUAAAAAAUCAACCAUGCACUAGGAGAGGCAUUUUAUCGGUGAUAAGCUCAGUCUAUGAUCCCUUGGGCUUUCUGGCACCACUUCUUCUGCCUGCUACAGUACUUUUGCAGGAGUUGUGUAGACAGGACUUGGGCUGGGAUGACGCCAUACCAUCGAUCCACCAGAAGAAAUGGAAUCAUUGGAUUCUGGAAUUGGACGGAAUAGCCGGAUUCCAGGUGAACCGAUGUUUUAAACCUUUGGAAUUUGAAUUGCCUUCCCACGCUUGUUUACAUCACUUCGCUGAUGCUUGUGCAGAUGGAUACGGCACAGUUUCAUAUAUUAAAUUCCAGAAUAGUGUAAACCAGGCACACGUGGCUUUCUUGCUGGGCAAGGCUAGAGUAACACCACUGAAACCGGUGACCAUACCUCAUUUGGAACUUACAGCGGCUGUACUUGCUGUUAAGGUUGACAUCAUGCUAAAGAGGGAGCUGCAAACUUCAUUGGAAGAUUCUGUCUUUUGGACUGAUAGCAUGACUGUCCUUAAUUACAUCAAGAAUGAAGACAAACGGUUUCAUACUUUCGUUGCUAACAGGGUGUCCUAUAUAAGAGACACUACACAACCUCAACAGUGGCGAUACGUGCCCACUAAAGAAAAUCCAGCAGAUGAUGCAUCUCGUGGUUUGAAAGCAAAAGAUUUUCUGAGCAAUACCCGAUGGAUUGAUGGUCCCAGUUUUCUCUGGAAGCCAAGUGAUACAUACUUUCCAACAAGUGAUCUGAUAUCGACUGAUGACCCUGAGAUUAAAAGGUUGAAAGUCAAUGCUGUGGUUUUACAGAAUGGACAGAAUGCCACAAGUCAACUUAUUCAUUUUUUCUCAGAAUGGAAACUUUUGAAAGUUGCAGUUGCUUGGUAUUUGAAACUGCAGAAACUUCUGAUGGAGCUGAGACGUAAACGAAAGGAGCUAUCUAUGGAACAGACUGACAGUGUUGCUGUGGAUGUAAGGUUACAGGAGUUUAAAGCAUCUCUGGGCAGACAAAGUUUGAGUGUGGAGGAUCUUUCUAUAGCUGAAAAUGGCAUAAUUCGUUUCUGUCAACAGGAACAAUUCCAAGAGGAAAUUGCUGAGCCCUAA
ensembl:lncRNA